UAAAUUUAACAUUUGAGCCCGAGCCCUAUGGCCCAUCUUUUGAUAGUUUAAUUAUAUAUAAAAUUAUCAUAUCCUAAAGCCCAAACUCAUUUCAAGCCUAAUUUUGCUUUACAUAGUCAAUCUUUCCAAUCACUUUGAAAGAGAGACUUUGGAAAGAGGGACUUGAUGUUAUAAAGUGUGAAACUUUCCAACUUGACCAAUAUGGGACAAAUAGUUAGAAGGGAAUUUAUACUCAAAACUGCAACAAUAAGUUUUAUCUAUUAAUUGUGGGAUCCAUCUAAUUUCUGCUCUACUAUUUGGAUACUCUCUUUUCUUGCUAAAAAAAGUGGGUCAUCUAUUGUAUAGGAAUCAAUAUGAGUUUAAUACGUUGAACUGCAAAUUUUGCAUCACUCUCAUAAAACUUAAACUUUUCAACUCACUAUAGAAGUUUGAUUCCUAUAAAAUUUAAAUCAAACUCAGCAUUUCAGGCUUUUCAACCUAUUGUGAAAGACACUAGAAGAUAAUGCACACAAGCUUCACAUUUCACAUUCCUUGUGGCAAGGGCCCAAAGACAAAUUGGCACUUUAGUUUUUGGGUGGAUGGUAGCAAAGGUCCUUGAACUUUACCUCAUGUUUAGUUUUCGUCCCUAAACUCUCAUAUUAGUUCUUUUUGGUACCGUUUGGUACGUGGGACGAGACGGGACGUAACUGGUGAGCUGUUCCAUCCCACGUUUGGUACUCCUAAAAACUGUGGAACGGGUUGUCCCAUAGGACGAAAUUUGGCUGAUUUUUCAUUCCACCUCUUCCCCCUGGAACGACCCAUUCCACAUCCGUGGAAUACAAAUUUAUAACAUUUUAUGAAAAAAUUUCUCCUUAUCUUUUUCAAUAUUUACAUCAUCUGUUCCAUCAUGUUCCAUCCCGUCCCGUCCCAUCCUGUUCUGUCCCGUCCUGUCCCGUUCCGUCCCAUCUGCGUACCAAACGGUACCUCUGUCCUCCAACUUAAUUAUGCGUUGUAUGAGUGAUCCUUCUGUCAAAUAUUUCUUCUUUUCUGUCAAAUUUAAUGUAUAGUGGUCAUUUCAAACAGAAAAAAAAAAAUCUAAUUAUUUAAAAAAGAGAAGAGCUUGGCUCCUUAAGGUUGAGGAGGAGUUCCUCCUCAAAAUAUUUUGUGGCCUAUUCAUAGAAUUUCAUGCUUAUGAUCGAAGCCGUUCAUAUUAUAAAUCACUUAAAACUAUGAUCAUUUAGUCAAUCCUUAAGGAGUUUCAAUCAAAAGUACAAAGUUUUGUGAAUAGGUAACGAGGUAUUUUAAGGAGGUUUCCUCCACAAUCCUUGAGGAGGCAAGUCUUUCUCUUAAAAAAAUUUAUUUUCUUAUUUUUUGGAUGAAAUUCCUAUUUUAUCCCUCAACUUGUUGAAAAAGUUGACAGAGUUAAUGAUAAUGACUACUAGUGCAACAAAUGACAUAAUUGAGGAUGGAAAAACUAUUGGUAGAAUUCAGGAAUGAAAACUAAACUUCUGGUUUAAGUUAGGGACAUUUGCUACAAUUUAGCCUUAAUUAUUUAUCACCUACCAUCAUUCAAUUAACAAAAAACUUAAAGAAAGACGAAUGAUAGGAAAUAAUACUCCCACUUGAUCCUCUACACAUUAUUUUUAUUUCUGCGUUAUCAAAAUAAAAUUAAAGGACAAAAUUAAGAGCAGGUUGUGUCUCAACUUUGAUUCUUUUAUUGUUACCUUUUAGUUUAUGUUGUUUAUGAUUUUUUGUUUUUUUGGUAAAAAGGCAUAGUUUUAUUACCCACAAAACUUUACAUAACAGAGGCCCAAAACAAAUAUACAAAGGAAACGUGGGCCAUCCAAAACAAAACACCAAAAGCCCAACCAUGAGAUUAGGCUUAGAAACAAAAGCAAACCAAAAGAAAAAGUAAACCCUAGCCUCCUGUAACUAUCGUCGUAACAGCACCUCUCAAUCAUCUCGAACCACCAAACCCAUCCAACGCCAUAAAUCCAACCAAACAACACCACAGAGAUGGAAGGAAGGAAAACUCCAUCAUCUAGCAAAUAACUCAUCUUUAGUUGUAGCCACCAAGUAGAAGAAAACAAAGAAGUCGUGGGAUUCCCACUAGCGACUUUGCCAAUGAUGGCAGACCAAGAGAAGGAGGUGGUGCAAACACCCGAGCUAGUGUGAUCAUUGGAACUCUACACAUCCUCUCGAUGUACCAUAACAAAUCGUGGUUAAAAGUGAUUGCAAACCGGAUUUGGAAUGAUAUUGAUGAAAGAUGAAGCCAAGUCAGAAAGAACGGAGGAGUAAAGAGUGAGGGAUAUCAUGAAUUAGAGAAAAGAAAGGAAUGGUUCUGAGGACAUUAACUAUUAGGAUAUAUGGUUUGUAGGUUGGAAAGAUCAUUCUGGAGGGAAAGGCUAACAAGGAGGAAAUUGUAGCAGAACGUAACAAGAGAACAAAUUAAGAGCAGAAAGAAAAGGCUGCCACCGACCGUAGCCAUAGCUAAGGCCGACAACUGAACGAAAAACCUUAAUUGGAAACCCUCACACAAGUAGUGAGAACAACUCUCAGGAAAAGAGAAAAGUAUUACUGUGGCCUAAAGCACAUGUUGUUUAUGGUUUGGAAUUGCUUAUUUCGCUUAUUUACCCGCGCUAGACAUCAACUAAUCACUACUGCCCUAUAUCAAAUUGGUACCAAAGAUGAAGCAACGCUUCACUCCAUAUCAUGGUUGGCCAUGGUUGAAGUUAAGGACAUGGAAACCAAACCCAUAAAUAACACAGAUGGCUAAGAUGUGGCACCCUUCAUUCUGAGUAACCCACAACUCCUUCCCCCAUUCAUUCUGAGUAACCCACUCCUGCCCCGAUCCCCAUAACUCACCCGCUCCC
rnacentral:lncRNA from 1 species